rnacentral:tRNA from 1 species
GAACGUAUGGCUUAAUGGUUAGAGUGCUUGGAUGGUUUCCAAUAGGCGCGAGUACAAAUCUAGCUAUAUUCA